AGGGAUUUAGUUUAAUUAAAAUUUUUGUUUUGCAAACAUGAGAUUAUAUCUCUA
rnacentral:tRNA from 1 species